AUUGAACGCUGGCGGCAUGCUUUACACAUGCAAGUCGAACGGCAGCACGGACUUCGGUCUGGUGGCGAGUGGCGAACGGGUGAGUAAUAUAUCGGAACGUACCCUAGAGUGGGGGAUAACGUAGCGAAAGUUACGCUAAUACCGCAUACGAUCUAAGGAUGAAAGUGGGGGAUCGCAAGACCUCAUGCUCCUGGAGCGGCCGAUAUCUGAUUAGCUAGUUGGUGAGGUAAAGGCUCACCAAGGCGACGAUCAGUAGCUGGUCUGAGAGGACGACCAGCCACACUGGAACUGAGACACGGUCCAGACUCCUACGGGAGGCAGCAGUGGGGAAUUUUGGACAAUGGGGGCAACCCUGAUCCAGCAAUGCCGCGUGAGUGAAGAAGGCCUUCGGGUUGUAAAGCUCUUUUGUCAGGGAAGAAACGGGAUUGGCUAAUAUCCAGUCCUAAUGACGGUACCUGAAGAAUAAGCACCGGCUAACUACGUGCCAGCAGCCGCGGUAAUACGUAGGGUGCAAGCGUUAAUCGGAAUUACUGGGCGUAAAGCGUGCGCAGGCGGUUUUGUAAGUCUGUCGUGAAAGCCCCGGGCUCAACCUGGGAAUUGCGAUGGAGACUGCAAGGCUAGAGUGUGUCAGAGGGGGGUAGAAUUCCACGUGUAGCAGUGAAAUGCGUAGAUAUGUGGAGGAACACCGAUGGCGAAGGCAGCCCCCUGGGAUAACACUGAACGCUCAUGCACGAAAGCGUGGGGAGCAAACAGGAUUAGAUACCCUGGUAGUCCACGCCCUAAACGAUGUCUACUAGUUGUCGGGUCUUAAUUGACUUGGUAACGCAGCUAACGCGUGAAGUAGACCGCCUGGGGAGUACGGUCGCAAGAUUAA
rnacentral:rRNA from 1 species